UCUGCUCAGCUUGUAGGCAGGGAAGUGAGAACAUGCAUAUUUUACUUUCUGUGUCUGAGUUGUUUCACUUAAGAUAAUGGCCCCCAGUCGCAAGGAUGUUGAGUUCUGCAUGGCUGGGGAGGCCUCAGGAAACUUACGACGCGGGCGACGAGGGCGUGCGCGGUACCUGCGAAGAUGCUUCCUUGUGCAAGAAGCGCCUGUCAGGCGCGGGAUUCGGGGCUGGCAUCUGGGACGCGGGCUGAGGUGGGAGGCGGGCCUGCAUCUGAAGAAUACGCUCGGAGGCUGGCAGGUUGCUGCCCCCGCCUCGCACGACCCUCGCUUCCCACCUGUGAAAUGCACAGAACAGGGCUUCAUUUAUUUAACGAAUCGUUUCUGAGCUCCUGCUGUGAGCCAGGCUUGGAGCAAGCCUGGGUACUGUGGAUGGGAGCAGGCCCCUGAACCAGGCGGACGGAGUCUUGGCGUUCUCGGAGCUAAACGCUGCUAGAAAGACAAACAUGAUGCACCUAACUAUUGUCUCCGUAGAUUAUGAGGAUGAGAGGUGGAGGUUCUCUCUCUUGUAGGUAUGAUCCCCGUUGUGCACCUGAAACUCAGGCGAUGAAUUUCAGUGAAGGAAAUGACCUGUCUAGGGCCACAUAAUACCUGUUUGAAAAGCCAGUACCACACUAAGUCUCCACUAUUAAGGGUGUGAUGGUGAGGGUGGGGUCGUAGGGAGCACAGGUAUGUGUCAGAAAGAGAAAACAUGAGGCUUGAGUGUCCUCCAUUUAUUCACUCAUUCAUUCUACAAAAAUGGAGAGCUUACUUUGUGCCAGGGCCUUAUUUGGGCUGGUUGGUGGGGAUUCAAUAAUGGGAAUACACCAAGAACAAGACAGACAUGCUGCCAGACAUACUGGAACUCACGGUUUAGUUGGGAAAGACUGACAGGAAAUAAUUAUCCAUGAGAUACAUAAUUAGAAUUUGGUGUUGUGCACUGAGAAAUACCGCGGUGUCAUUAGAGUUUGUAAUUUAGUGAUAUUUAAGCUGAGAGCAAAAGGCUUAAAAAAUAGGGGUGUAGG
rnacentral:lncRNA from 1 species